rnacentral:tRNA from 1 species
GGGAUAUGUUGUAAAAGGUUUUACAUUUUGAUUGCAGAUCAAAUAAAAAGGGGUUCAAUUCCUCCGUAUCUCU